AUCUGCAAGGAAAUCUUUCCAAAAAUUCAGACCACAAUCAAUUGAAAUCAAUCACCAAAUUAUUCUCAAUACACGGUAUAUAAACCCCAUACCCUAAUCUCUCAUUCUCACACAAAUUCGCAGCCACUCUUUUCUCACCUUUGAAUCACCAGAACGGCGGAGGGAGCAGUAGGGAGGAGUUCAUCUUCUUUCCUCACCAAAUCUAAGUUUCACCACGAAAUUUGGAACCAAAUCCAGAAAGGGGGAGAACCAGAAGCUUCAAUCUUUGCCUAAACCGAUUCAUUCAGUGAAGGUGAUUUCUUGGGCGCGAAACGUGAUACCAAGGGGAAGAAUAUAGUUGAGAAUUUAGCGCUUUGAGGUUGAGCGGCGACGAGCACUUGCUGGUGUUGAGCACAAAUAAAAUUUGAAAUCUUAAUUGCUUAUCGUUAAACUUUGGGUGACGUAGUGUCUUCAUACACGACGCCGCUCCUCUUGAACGCUUCCGCUGGAAUUUACUUAUACUCAUUUCUCGUUUAACUUUGAACCCGUUUAUCUUUGAGAAUUUAAGACUUAUUUUUUUUGAUAAUGUCAAACUCUUGUCGUUUCUUUUUGAUUA